GAAACUGGAUCGGGAAUGGGGGAAACUGGAUCGGGAAUGGGGAACCCUGGAUCGGGAAUGUGGGACUCUGGAUUGGGAAUGAGGGACCCUGGAUCGGGAAUGGGAAACCUGGAUCGGGAAUGGGGGAUCCUGGAUUGGGAAUGGGGGAUCCUGGAUUGGGAAUGGGGGAAACUAUUGGGAAUGGGGGACCCUGGACUGGGAAUGAGGGACCCUGGAUCGGGAACAAGGGAAACUGCAUCGGGAAUGAGGGAAACUGGAUCGGGAGUGGGGGAUCCUGGAUUGGGAAUGGGGGACCUCAGAUCGGGAAUGAGGGAGACCAGAUCGGGAAUGAUCAAACCCAUAUCGGGAAUGAUCCAAACCUGGAUCCGAAAUUAUCAAACACAGAUUGGGAGUGAUCCAACCUGUAUCGAGAAUGACUCAAACCUGAAUUGGGAAUGAUCUGACCCCGGAUAGGGAGUGAUCCAACCCGGACUGGGGAUGAUUGGAACCUGGAUUGGGAAUGAUCAAACCUGCAUCCAACCUGGCCUUGGAUACUCCCAAUGAUCCAGGGGCAGCCACAGCUUCUCUGGGCAACCUGGGCCAGGGCCUGCCCACCCUCCCAGGGAACAAUUCCUUCCCCAUAUCCCAUCUCUCCCUGCCCUCUGGCAGUGGGAAGCCAUUCCCUGUGUCCUGUCCCUCCAUCCCUUGUCCCCAGUCCCUCUCCAGCUCUCCUGGAGCCCCUUUAGGCCCUGCAAGGGGCUCUCAGGUCUCCCUGGAGCCUUCUCCAGGUGAACCCCCCCAGCUGUCCCAGCCUGGCUCCAGAGCAGAGGGGCUCCAGCCCUGGCAGCAUCUCCGUGGCCUCCUCUGGACUCUCUCCAGCAGCUCCACGUGCUCCCUGUGCUGGGAUCCCAGGGCUGGACACUGUUCCCACUGGGAUCUCACCUGAGAGGGGCAGGAUGCCUCUCCCCUGCAGGGGUGGAAUGAGCCCCAGGAGGAAAAGCAGGAGCAGGAAGCUGAGGUCAGCCAGGCUCAGGCAUCCCUCCGGUGACAGAUGGCCCUUCCCUUCCCACCAGGAGCUGGGAGGCUCUUCCCGAGCACCUGGGAACAGACAGGAGCUGCCACCUGCAGCCUCAGGAUUCUCUGGCACAUCCUGGAUCCAGAGCUGCUGAUCCCCAUUGGAUCCAGGGCUGCUGCUCCCCAAAAUGUUGAGGAAACCAACAGAAGUGAAUUAAAACAUUCCAAGAUGUAUUUUA